rnacentral:lncRNA from 1 species
AAUUUUGAAAAUAAUAAAAACUAACAAAGCUAUGGCUAAAAAAAAUAAAUCAACAGUCAAUAAUACACAAAACACAACAUUGAAAACUAAAGACUGAGCAACACGGACCACAUCAAAACUGAAGGUAUCUCAGGUUCUAAGGAAGGGUAAGCAGAUCCUGCCCCACAUGUAGCACCCGUUGUCUCGGUCAUGUUAGUACAAGACCCGUCUGAUUUGGUAGAAAACAUUCGUUGACAUUGAAAAGGGGACGGGAUUGUAGUAAAGACACACGUGACAUAUCCGCAAUCAUCAGUGAAAUGGAUGUUCCCGUACAGUCAACCAACUCAUGAUGGCUGGCGUCCAUAAAAUUUACGAUGGGAUGAUUUCAACUUCACCAAAUAAAACCAUAAUAGCUUCCCUUUGUUGAUAUUAUUCUGUUCUGUGGGGGAUUUUAUCAAGGAAAUAUGAAUUAAAAUUUUAUUGCAUCAUUUGGAUUACGAAGUUUUUUUUUACCAGAAUUAGAUCAUAUGUAAAUAUAAAGAAGUUGUGAUAGCUGUGCCAAUGACACAAUCCUCCAUCCAAGUCACAAUUUGUAAUAACAAAUG